rnacentral:tRNA from 2 species
CCGCGACAGGAUGCGGGCGCCAUGGAUCGGCGUGUUGAGGUCACGUCGGCGGAUGGAUGCGCGGUUCGAAUCCGCGCCCCGGC